CCUAACAUUUCUGGAAGUGGUGUAUACAGCGUAAGAGGAUCUAAUCGAUGGGGCUUGCCUGGCGAUGUUCACUUCUUUCUUGAAGACGAUUUUUGUCGCUCUCUGCUGAUCGCUUACACCUUGGUGCAAAACACAGCAGGUCCACAUAUAUAUCGAAAAGUUCGAAAACACAGGUUACAAAUACGGUAUAGCUCAUCCAGCCGCAGCCGGACGCCGCCGCAGCAAAAGAGUGAUACACCACUGCAUAAAAAAGGGUUACUUUUCUGAUUUUCAUCUGGGAUCUGCUGAGCUCUUGCUCCUGAUAUACUUUGAAAAGAGCUGAGAGCGUUCCAUCAUGGAUUUAACUCUGAAUCCCACAGGUUUCGAAUCAAGGCUUGCCUAAAAGUUCUGUAUCCUAAUGUAGUUGGCCCUCUCAUAGUGUGUGCACUGCUCCACACAAUGUUACUUUCAUCUCUUUUGUUUCUGGCCUCCACUUUUUAACCAGACAUGGCAGGCAGUGUGCUUUUCCCCUUACAUUACUUUGCCAAAGUCAUGUGUGUCGCCCAUCUUGAUGUGUGCGCUUGGCCCUGGACCAUCCAAUGUCCUUUCUAUUUGCUGUGUUGUUAUAUGCACCCUUUAUACUAUGUGCUGCUUAGCAACAACUACAACAACAAGAAAUUUUUU
rnacentral:lncRNA from 1 species